rnacentral:rRNA from 1 species
UACGGAGGGUGCGAGCGUUGUCCGGAAUCACUGGGCGUAAAGCGCACGCAGGCGGAUACGCGCGUGGGGUGUGAAAUCUGGCCGCUUAACGGCCAGGCGCCAUCCCAUACGGCGUGUCUGGAGCUGUGCAGAGGUCGGUGGAAUUGCCGGUGUAGUGGUGAAAUGCGUAGAGAUCGGCAGGAACACCCAGGGGGAAACCAGGCCGACUGGGCACAUGCUGACGCUGAGGUGCGAGAGCGUGGGGAGCGAACCGG